AAUAAUAAAAUCUAAACUAGAGUCAACACUGGUCAGCACAAAAUUCCAUUUCCGAAAGGAACACAAGAGUGAGCUCGCUGAAGGAAGAUGACGAUUGCUAAGCCUUGCCUUCCCCCUUCAACGUCGCCGUUUGAAUCCCAAUCAUCAUCACCACCACCAAACUCAAACCCAAAUUCAAAUGGUAAUUUACUUGAGACUUUUGUCUCAACUGAUGGUAGUAACAGACUGACGCUUGAGGUUUGUGGGUGUGCUGCAAUUUCAAGGACAGUACAAGGUACCCUUUGCCCUUUUGCUCUAUCUAAUCAUAGGUUUUGAAUUUUUUGGUCUGUUUCCACAUUUGGUUAUGAUUUAGAAAUUUUUGGAUUAAGUUGACAGCUACAUUUGAUCCAGAGUUCUGAUUCAGUGCUUGAACUUGCCACUGAUUCUGAGUUAUUUGAGCUUGAGAACAUUCUUUUUGGCCCAAGGUGUUGAUUUCCAGCAAUUUUGAAAAACAAUUAGAAAAUUGUUGAUUUGAACUAUGAAUAGCGAAUAAGGUACUAAUGUAUAUAUUGUUUGAAAGCUGUUAAUCUCCAGCUAUUCAGCCCUUUGCUUAUAUCAAUACCAAGUGGAGCCAAUGUGGAUACCAUUAAAUGAUCAACCAAGAUCUUCAAGAACCUGAGGAAUUCACAGCUUUCCUUGCAGCCGAUGCUCAAUCUACAUUAAGGUUAUUCAGUGCAGGGUUUAUGCAUAAACUUAAAUUCAUCUUUGGGUUUAUGCAAUUUUUUUUUUUUUGGUACAUAUUCUUGAUAGCAAAUUAAAUUGCCAAAUAGAUGGCUUUUUCAAAGAGAAAGGUGUAAAACCAGGAAUCAGAAUUAGUUAACAGUGAUCAGCAGGAAAUUCUGUUUCUAAAACCAGGAAUCUGAAUUGUGAGCUCUCGCUUAGUUUGUAUUGGCGGCUUCAGCUGCACUGUUUCAAUCCCAAUUAUCAACACCACCACCACCUCCAGUACGCUUCUUCUCCUUAACCGUUUCUCAAUCUUUCAUUCUUCACCAUUUUGGGCUGGGAAAGGAAGGAAAGUUUUGUCUUUUUUAGUCAAACUGAGGGCUUUUAUUUUCUGGUUGGGUUUGGGAAAAAAAGAGGCCGAGCUGAAUAGUUUGCAGUGGAUAUUUGUUGCUUUGGCUGCAAUUUUUGUAGUGUUUAAGAUUUCGAUGUUUUAUUUAUUCUCUACUUGUUUUUCUUCAUAAAUCAAACGGUAACUUACAUCGGAUUUUUGGCUCGACUGGCGGUAGUAGCAGUCUGAGGCUUGUGGCUUGUGGGAGUGCUGCUAUUUCAAGGACAGUGCAAGAUACCCUUUUUCCCUUUUGCUCUAUCUAUCAUGGGUUUUGGAUUUUGUUGGUCUGUUCCCUCGUUGGGUUAUGAUUCAGAAAGUUUUGGAUUAAGUUGAAUGGUACAUUUGAUCCAGAGCUCUUGUCGGUACUACUUGAAGUUGUCAAGGAUAUUGAGUUAUUUGAGCUCGAAGGCAUUCUUUUUGGCCAAGGUAUUAUUCCUUCCUGCAAUUUAGAAAAAAUAAUAAUAAUAAUAAUAAUAAUUAAAAAUAAAAUUGUUGAUUUUGAGCUAUGGAUUAUGAAUAUGUUACUUAUAUAUAUGUUGUCUGAAUGCUGUUAAUCUUUAGCUUGUUUAGCCCUCUGCUUAAAUCAAUACCGAGUUGAGCCAAUAUGAACUAUGAAAUGAUUUAAAAAAAUGUUUCUGAUAGCGUACUUGUGUUGUUUUUUGAUGUGAUUCUAAAAGUUCUAAGAUAUUCAAAAGCUAUAUAAAUAGUAUAUAUGUAAUCAACCAAUUCGAUUGGUUCAUCCUUAGAGAUGGCAUGAACCUUUAGUUGGCUUUACUAAAACUUGAUCAUGAUGGGGCCUUUGUUGGAAGAAGUUCUUGUGUGGUUGAGAUAGUGGAUGUCAACUUGACCAUAAUGCAAAACCAUAUACCAUUAUUUUUGGCCACUUUGAAAGGGCUGGGCUUCAGCCAAAUGAUCAUAGAAUCAGAUCGAAGUGCAGGAUAUUACUUAGAAAACUUCAAACUAUUUUAGUGCUAUUAGAAGCUCUUCUUUGCACUUUUGAUGUGUGUGAUAAUACUUACAUACCCUGAAAAAUGUAAUAGAGUGGCCGACUAGCUUGAUUGCCAAGCAAUCCCUCAAAGAUCAUUUGGCCUUUAAAUUGAACAGGGCAGUACUGAGGGGAAGAUACAAAUUAAAUAGUCUGCAUUAUGCAGAAUCUGUAAUGUGUUUUCAACCUAAUCAAGUACGAAUCAAUACAACUUCAUUUUAUUUGGUCCUGGAAAAACAGAAAUAAGUCCAUGAUUGAGAGUACCAGAGAGAGAACCAUCAAAGGUAAUACAGCUAAGGCUGAUUGCCUGUCACCUUCUUCAUCCUGCAGCUCCAGUACAAAUUAUCAGGGUACCUAUUCUUCACCUUGGUCUGUAAAUUCAAACACCCCAGGGAUUCGUCAGGCUCCAUUAUAUCUUUGUACUCCUUAAUGGCCUUAAAUAACUCAGCAAUGGCGUGCUCAACGCCUGUCAUAUUGAUUUGCCAGAAGACUUCAAAAUUUCUCUCAUCUUCAAUGUCACAAAUCUUACUCCAUAUCUGCCUCCUGGUGCUUCUCCAACGGCUACUGAACCACUCGAGGUCGAGUUCUCUGGAAGUGAGAAGGAAUUGAUGAAGAAGGAGACAAAGCUGAUGAGGAAGGAAACAGAACUAUUUUUGGCUGCAGAAACAGUCUGGGGCUUGUGGCUUGUGGGUGUGCUCUGCUAAUUCAAGGACUAUCAUUCAAGGUACCCUUUUGCUCCUUUGCUCUGUCUAUCUAUCAUGGGUUUUAAAUUUUGUGGUCCUUGACUCUGUUCCCACAGCGAAGUUGAUAUAGUGAAAACAAUGCCCCUCCAAUUAUAGGGAAAUUAAUUGGUAUUAUUAACAGAUUUAUUGUAGUAACACUCAUUUUAUUUGCAAAAAUUUUUAUUAAUCAAAUAUUUUAUAAUAAGUCAUGUGUGUUUGAUUUUUUUUUUCAGAAUAUGAUAUAAUAUCUUUUACUCUUUCUUCUUGUUUAUUCUUUUUGUGCU